rnacentral:tRNA from 1 species
GGACUAUAGCUCAGUGGCAGAGCGCUUGCCUAGCAUGCAUGAGGCACCGGGUUUGAUCCUCAGCACCA